GGAGUUUGGGCCGUGUCUCAGUCCCAAUGUGGCCGUUCACCCUCUCAGGCCGGCUACUGAUCGUCGCCUUGGUGGGCCGUUACCCCGCCAACAAGCUAAUCAGACGCGGGUCCAUCUCAUACCACCGGAGUUUUUCUACACUGUACCAUGCGGUACUGUGCGCUUAUGCGGUAUUAUCAGUCGUUUCCAACUGCUAUCCCCCUCGUAUGAGGCAGGUUACCCACGCGUUACUCACCCGUCCGCCACUAAGUGUCCGUUCCGAAGAGCUGACACCCCGUUCCGACUUGCAUGUG
rnacentral:rRNA from 1 species